AUGGAUCGUGAGGUCCUGGAGCGUAUACUUGAUGGAAGAGAGAAUCCGAGAAAUCUAUCACUCGCACUUUUGAAGGAUGUCACAGAAAAUUUCUCGGAGGAUCGAGAAAUCGGCCACGGUGGAUUUGCAACUGUUUAUAAGAUGAACCGGCAAUGGAUGUACGGUGACAGACACACCCCCGAGUACAUUAAGGGCGUGCAUGAGUUUCUCGAUGCGGCUGAGGCAAACAAGCAGAAUGGUUUUAUGUGUUGUCCAUGCACUGAAUGUGGGAAUACGAGGUCUUACUCUAACCGGAAAAUCCUUCACUCCCACCUGCUUUACAAGGGUUUCAUGCUACACUAUAAUGUUUGGACGAGGCAUGGAGAAAUAGGGGUUAUGAUGGAAGACGGCGAAGAAGAAGAGUACGAUGACAACUAUGUGCCCCCUGAAUACGAUGAUGCUGCAACGGGGGGAGCUGGUGAAGAUCAAGAGGAACCAGACGAUGUGCCCAAUGAUGCUGCCACGGGUGAAGCUGCUGAAGAUCAAGAGGAACCAGACGAUGUGCCCGAUGAUGAUGAUCUCCGCCGGGUCAUUGUCGAUGCAAGGACGCAAUGCAUUAGUCAAAAGGAGAAGCUGAAGUUCGAUCGCAUGUUAGAGGAUCACCAAAAAGGGUUAUACCCCAAUUGCGAAGAUGGCAACACAAAGCUCGGUACCGUACUGGAAUUGCUGCAGUGGAAGGCAGAGAAUGCUGUGGCUGACAAAGGAUUUGAGAAGCUACUGAAAAUAUUGAAGAAGAAGCUUCCAAAGGAUAAUGAAUUGCCCGACAGUACAUACGCAGCAAAAAAGGUCGUAUGCCCUCUAGGAUUGGAGGUGGAGAAGAUACAUGCAUGCCCUAAUGACUACAUCCUCUACCGCGGUGCAUACAACGAUCUGAACACAUGCCCGGUAUGCGGUGCGUUGCGGUAUAAGAUCAGACGAGAUGACCCUGGUGAUGUUGACGGCGAGCCCCUCAGGAAGAGGGUUCCUGCGAAGGUGAUGUGGUAUGCUCCUAUAAUACCACGGUUCAAACGUCUGUUCAGAAACGAAGAGCAUGCCAAGUUGAUGCGAUGGUACAGUGAGAACCGAAUGAAAGAUGGGAAGUUGAGAGCACCCGCUGACCGGUCGCAGUGGAGAAAUAUCGAGAGAAAGUACUGGGAUGAGUUUGCAAAGGACCCAAGGAAUGUAUGGUUUGCUUUAAGCGCGGAUGGCAUUAAUCCUUUCGGGGAGCAGAGCAGCAAUCACAGCACCUGGCCCGUGACUCUAUGUAUGUAUAACCUUCCUCCUUGGAUGUGCAUGAAGCGGAAGUUCAUUAUGAUGCCAGUUCUCAUCCAAGGCCCUAAGCAACUCGGCAACGAAAUUGAUGUGUACCUAAGGCCAUUAGUUGAAGAACUUUUACAGCUGUGGAAUGGAAACGGUGUACGUACGUGGGAUGAGCACAGACAGGAGGAAUUUAACCUUAAGGCGUUGCUGUUCGUGACCAUCAACGAUUGGCCCGCUCUCAGUAACCUUUCAGGACAGACAAACAAAGGAUACCACGCAUGCACGCAUUGUUUAGAUGACACUGAAAGUAUAUACCUGGACAAAUGCAGGAAGAAUGUGUACCUGGGCCAUCGUCGAUUUCUUCCGACCAACCAUCAAUGUCGAAAGAAAGGCAAGCAUUUCAAAGGUGAGGCAGAUCACCGGAAGAAGCCCGUCAUGCGCACCGGUGAUCACGUGCUUGCUAUGGUCAAUGAUUUACACUACGUAAUCUUUGGAAAGGGUCCCGGUGGACUAGCUGUUCCGAAUGACGCUGAGGGACACGCACCCAUGUGGAAGAAGAAAUCUAUAUUUUGGGACCUACCCUACUGGAAAGACCUAGAUGUCCGCUCCUCAAUCGACGUGAUGCACGUGACGAAGAACCUUUGCGUGAACCUGCUAGGCUUCUUGGGCGUGUAUGAGAAGACAAAAGAUACACCUGAGGCACGAGAGGACCUGCAACGUUUGCACGAAAAAGACGGCAUGCCUCCGAAGCAGUAUAAAGGUCCUGCCAGCUACGCUCUUACGAAAGAAGAGAAAGAAAUCUUCUUUGAAUGCCUGCUCAGUAUGAAGGUCACGACUGGCUUCUCGUCGAAUAUAAAGGGAAUAAUAAAUAUGCCAGAGAAAAAGUUUUAG
rnacentral:rRNA from 1 species